GCCUCUGAAUCCGGAGCUGUAGGAAGCAAAAAGUCGAACUGCAAGAACACAGUGAGAGAAAUGGGCAGAUGCCUUAAGGCUAGGGUAGCUGGGGGAAGGGCGCACGCGAGAACUGAACAGAUACCGCACCAGCAACCAGAAAUCAAGUCUGGCUCAGCAAAGGAUGUUCUUUAAUAUGAGAAGCUGAUUGGUUGUUUCCUCUGCUUCUGCUUAAUUCCAAUUAAAAGAAUGAAACCGGAGAAAGAUAGCUUCUUGGAAGCCCUACUUAUAAUCUAAUUAGUGAACCAGAGAGAGAACUUAGCAUCUCUGACCUUCAUGCUAACCUUCAGGGCCUUUCUGCUUCAGAGUAGAACAAGCAAACUCAGUUAAAAUGCCAGAGAUUUUCAAGGAAUGGAACAAAGAAAGCAGAGUGACAGGAAUGAAAGACACUGAAAAAGUCCUCACUGGCAGGAAUUUAUUCUUGUUACUUCUGCAUACCAUCAACGAUGUUUGCAUCUUCAUCAAGGCUAGACAUCUCUUCCUGUGAACUUGGGAUGGAUGGAAGAUGUCUGUGGAAGGAUGCAGAUGAUGAGGCCAUUAAGAACUCAACUGUGAUGGACAGUCUUUUUCAAAUUAUUGUUAUUAUUAUUAUUAUGUGUAUUUUAUUAUUCCAUAGUAUCUGACCACCCUCUCUAUUACAAAUCAUACUUAAUGUUGUCACUUAUGGUACAGUAUACACAUAGCACCAUAAAAACAGGCCAUGGAGUUAGCCCUCACUACUGCAUGAAUGUCUGAAGGACAGGUACCAUCGGCUAUCUUUCUAGCCUGCAUCAAUUAUCCUGUCUACUGCUGCAUGUCCAUUUUUACCUAUCAUUAAGAUUCACAAAAACUUAAGUUACUUAAAAAUUAAACAUUUAAAUGUUUGUUGACAAAACAAUAAACAUGAAAAAUUUUUCCUAUU
ensembl:lincRNA B230110C06Rik RIKEN cDNA B230110C06 gene